ensembl:snoRNA
UUCCAAAGUGUUGAGUUCAGUUCAGGGCAACUUCCCUGUUCUGUUAAUUAAACUUUGGGAAAUUGAAAUGGGCUAGGGUAAGUGUUUGGAUAGAAAAGUACUGUUCUAUUCAUUUAUGUCCUGGCCUACAAAA